rnacentral:tRNA from 1 species
AGAAACUUAUGUUAACCAAACUAGAAGCCUUCAAAGCUUCCGAUGGGGGUUAAAUUCCCUCAGUUUCUG